UCCUACGGGAGGCAGCAGUAGGGAAUUUUCCGCAAUGGACGAAAGUCUGACGGAGCAACGCCGCGUAAGUGAUGAAGGCUUUCGGGUCGUAAAACUCUGUUGUUAGGGAAGAACAAGUGCUAGUUGAAUAAGCUGGCACCUUGACGGUACCUAACCAGAAAGCCACGGCUAACUACGUGCCAGCAGCCGCGGUAAUACGUAGGUGGCAAGCGUUAUCCGGAAUUAUUGGGCGUAAAGCGCGCGCAGGUGGUUUCUUAAGUCUGAUGUGAAAGCCCACGGCUCAACCGUGGAGGGUCAUUGGAAACUGGGAGACUUGAGUGCAGAAGAGGAAAGUGGAAUUCCAUGUGUAGCGGUGAAAUGCGUAGAGAUAUGGAGGAACACCAGUGGCGAAGGCGACUUUCUGGUCUGUAACUGACACUGAGGCGCGAAAGCGUGGGGAGCAAACAGGAUUAGAUACCCUGGUAGUCCACGCCGUAAACGAUGAGUGCUAAGUGUUAGAGGGUUUCCGCCCUUUAGUGCUGAAGUCAACGCAUUAAGCACUCCGCCUGGGGAGUACGGCCGCAAGGCUGAAACUCAAAGGAAUUGACGGA
rnacentral:rRNA from 1 species